AUGUUGAUUGACAAAACUUGCUGUAAAGACAAGGAUUUACCAAAGUCAAAGAAAAAUGACGAAGCAGAGUCUCAGGGCAGCAUUGAUAUGUUUAAGCUCUGCAACUUGAAGCCAGCUUUGCCAACCACCUUUCCCGUGCCAGAUUUUAGCGACAAAGAGAUGUGUGAGAAGAUCAACUUUGCCAUUGAUCAGAGCAUGUUCUUAUCAAGUGACGCUGAAAAGUAUCAAAUUGAUAUGGAGGAAGCAGGAAAGGGUCUUGACUGGGUUCAUUCAAAGAAAAAAUACAAGGAAUAUUUGAAGCAGCUUCCAGAUAUAAGCUCGAGCAAGAGAAACAGAACAUCUGUUUCAAACCCUCACGUGGCCCAGAAGUGCAAAGCAGUCUCAAUGAAGGAGAAUCUGUAG
rnacentral:rRNA from 1 species